rnacentral:lncRNA from 1 species
GGGGUCCAGUUCAGAUAGGGUCCAGUUCAGAUUGGGUCCAGUUCGGUUACUGUCCAGUUCAGAUAAGGUACAGUUCAAAUAGGGUCCAGUUCAGAUUGGGUCCAGUUCGGUUACUGUCCAGUUCAGAUGGGGUCCAGUUCAGUUUGGGUCCAGUUUGGUUACUGUCCAGUUCAAAUAGGGUCCAGUUCAGAUUGGGUCCAGUUCGGUUACUGUCCAGUUCAGAUAGGGUCCAGUUCAGAUGGGGUCCAGUUUAGAUGGGGUCCAGUUCAGAUGGGGUCCAGUUCAGAUGGGGUCCAGUUCAGAUGGGGUCCAGUUCAAAUGGGGUCCAGUCCAGAUGGAGUCCAAAUCAGAUGAGGUCCAGUUCAGAUGGGGUCCAGUUCAGAUGGAGUCCAAAUCAGAUGAGGUCCAGUUCAGAUGGGGUUCAGUUCAGAUGGGGUCCAGUUCAGAUGGAGUCCAAAUCAGAUGAGGUCCAGUUCAGAUGGGGUUCAGUUCAGAUGGGGUCCAGUUCAGAUGGGGUCCAGUUCAGAUUGGGUCCAGUUUGGUUACUGUCCAGUUCAGAUAGGGUCCAGUUCAGAUGGAGUCCAGUUCAGAUGGGGUCCAGUUCAGAUGGAGUCCAGUUCAGAUUGGGUCCAGUUUGGUUACUGUCCAGUUCAGAUGGAGUCCAGUUCAGAUGGGGUCCAGUUCAGAUGGGGUCCAGUUCAGAUGGGGUCCAGUUCAGAUAGGGUCCAGUUCAGAUGGGGUCCAGUUCAGAUGGGGUCCAGUUCAGAUGGGGUCCAGUUCAGAUGGGGUCCAGUUUGGUUACUGUCCAGUUCAGAUGGGGUCCAGUUCAGAUGGAGUCCAGUUCAGAUGGGGUCCAGUUCAGAUGGGGUCCAGUUCAGAUGGAGUCCAGUUCAGAUGGGGUCCAGUUCAGAUGGGGUCCAGUUCCAAUGGGGUCCAGUUCAGAUGGGGUCCAGUUCAGAUGGGGUCCAGUUCAGAUGGGGUCCAGUUCAGAUGGGGUCCAGUUCAGAUGGGGUCCAGUUCCAAUGGGGUACAGUUCCAAUGGGGUUCAGUUCAGAUGGGGUCCAGUUCAGAUGGGGUCCAGUUCCGAUGGGGUCCAGUUCCAAUGGGGUCCAGUUCAGAUGGGGUCCAGUUCCAAUGGGGUCCAGUUCAGAUGGGGUCCAGUUCCAAUGGGGUCCAGUUCCAAUGGGGUCCAGUUCCAAUGGGGUCCAGUUCAGUUGGGGUCCAGUUCAGUUGGGGUCCAGUUCAGAUGGGGUCCAGUUCUGUUGGGGUCCAGUUCCAAUGGGGUACAGUUCAUAUAGAGUUAAUUAAUUUGUAGAAAUGGAACAUCCAAGUCAUGUUUCUAUUCCUGUAGUAAUGCUGUAGUCACGGUGAUGUUGGUAGAUAGCUUCCGUGGACACUUUGGACUCUUCAGUGCUGACUAAUAGCUCUAUUUACCUCUGUGGUCAUAUAGCG